GGAUGAACGCUGACAAUGUACUUUAGGCAUGCAAGUCGAACGGGAGAGGCCGCAAGGCCAAUUCAGUGGCAGACGGGUGAGUAUAAGAUAGGAAUCUACCUCUUAGUGGGGAAUAGCUCGCCGAAAGGCGGGGUAAUACCGCAUAAGUCCGCAAGGAGAAAAGGCAUAACUGCCUGCUGAGAGAUGAGCCUGUUGGUUAUCAGCUUGUUGGUAGGGUAACGGCCUACCAAGGCUAUGACAACUAGGGGGCGUGAGAGCGCGGCCCCCCACAAGGUUACUGAGACACGGAACCUACAUCUACGGAUGGCAGCAACCGGGAAUUUUGCGCAAUGGACGAAAGUCUGACGCAGCGACAUUGUGUGUGGGAUGAAGGCCUUCGGGUUGUAAACCACUGUGGUAAAGGAGAAAUUCAAUUGAUAGUACUUUAUUAGAAAGCACCUGCUAACUACGUGCCAGAAGCCUCGGUAAUACGUAGGGUGCAAGCGUUAUCCGGAAUUACUGGGCGUGAAGAGUCUCGUAGGCGGUUGGUUAAGUGGCGGGUUAAAGACCAAGGCUCAACUUUGGGAAUGCCUGUCAAACUGAUCGACUAGUGGAAAUUCGGGGAUGUUGGAAUUCUUGGUGGAGGAGUGAAAUCCGUUGAUAUCAAGAAGAACACCAAUGGCGAAGGCAGACAUCUAGGAUUUUCCAGACGCUGAUGAACGAAAGCUAGGGGAGCGAAAGGGAUUAGAGACCCCUGUAGUCCUAGCCGUAAACUUUGGACACUAGCUAUCCGAAUUUAUUUGGGUGGCGUAGUUAACGCGUUAAGUGUCCCGCCUGGGGAGUACGACCGCAAGGUUAAAACUCAAAGGAAUUGACGGGGAAAUGCACAACCAGCGUGCCAUGUGGUUUAAUUCGAUACGAAACGAAGAACCUUACCUGGGUUUGACAUGUAUCUGCAAGCUUUAGGAAACUAGAGCACCUUCGAGGGUGAUACACAGCUGCUGCAUGGUUGUCGUUAGUUCGUGUCGUGAGGCGUCCACUUAAGUGUGGUAACGAACGCAACCCCUUUCCUGUGUUAAAUAUCCACAGGAUACUGCCUUUCAUCUUUGAAGGGAGGAAGGAGGGGACGACGUCAAAUCAGCAUGGCGCUUAUGUCCAGGGCUACACACAUGGCGUAAUGGAUGGGACAACGGGUCGCGAGAGAGCAAUCUGGAGCUAAUCCUAAUAAACCCAUCCUCAGUUCGGAUCGUGGGCUGCAAUUCGCCCGCGUGAAGGGGAGUUGGUAGUAAUCGCAGGUCAGCUAUACUGCGGUGAAUACGUUCUCAUUUC
rnacentral:rRNA from 1 species